rnacentral:tRNA from 1 species
UUUUUUUUUGCUCAGUUGGUUAGAGCACAUCACUCAUAAUGAUGGGGUCACAGGUUCGAAUCCCGUCGUAGCCACCA